UGAAAAUAAAAAAAAUACCGG
rnacentral:piRNA from 1 species